ensembl:lncRNA
UUGGGUUAACUGGGCAGUUGUCUUUGAUGGGACCUUACAUGGUUGCAGUCAGCCAGUCGCUGAGACUGAUGUCUUGAGAGAUUUGACCGUGCUGCUGGAGUGGCUGAGCCUCUCCUCUUCCUGAGGUCUCUGGUUACUAUUACUCAAGAUAUGCCCUAAGUGCAGGAGCAGAAGUUUCUAGGCCUUCUUAAGGUGGAUACCCAGAACAGGCACAGUGUCACUUCUGCUUCAUUCUGCUGGUUGAAGCAAGUUGCAGGCUCUGCGUGGGGUCCUCGAGACUGCCAUCAGGACUGCAGCUUCUCUAGAAGAAAAGAACUUAGAAAUACUAUCAUACUCACAGUUAAGAUUUACUCCAGUGAAAGGGCACAGGUUAAAAUCAGCAAAGGAAACAAGAGCAUAGAGCAGAGUCCAGGAGAAACCAAGUGCAAGCGUCCGGCUGCGCUUUGCCAGUGGAGUUUUACAGAUAACAAUGAAUUGUCUCAGCACUGGUGUGUGAUAACACACACAAAGUGUGGCCAACCAGGGAGCUCACCUGAGCCUUGUCCAAGGUUUUUAUUAAGGGUCAGUCUCAUAAGCGUGGAAUGCCCACGUGAUUGACCAGAGUUACUCGGUCUCCCUAUCCUCCAGAGGUCAAACUGAUACAGAUGGGUUCAGAGUCCAAGAUGAACAAAAACAGGUGUUUACCAUCAAUCACACAGUUAACAUGAACUAUCUGGUUAUGACUUAAGGCACUGGAUAUACACAGGGACUCUUAUCAGACAGAAUAUGGCAAGGUCUUAGAGAUUACCUCCCAGGAGCUAGUCAGAGGUCAGUCCUCUCCUUAAAAAGUACAGAAUCUGACCAUCCCAAGCCUGCUGAGUUGUUCUUUUAUUAUGUAUGGGCCUAACUCCAAUUUAGUCUAGGAAGGACUACACAAGGGCAUGGAUUCUAGGAUGAAUGAUUGUGAGAGCCAUCUUUGAAGAGUAGGUACUGUAUCAUUAUUUUCCCCCCAUGGCUCCAACAGAGACAACAGAGUAUAUAGGGAAUCUGGAUUUCUUCAUGGAAUAGUUUAUUUUAACUGAAACUGAAUAUAUACGUAUAUAUACACUUUAAUAUAAUUAUAUAUAUUUAUAUGUACAUAAAAUGAAAUUAUAUAACGAAAUGGGCUAAAGUUGUUGUCCAUGUGAAAAUGUGAGUCCCAUCUAUGCCUGAUAUAUUAAUCCUUUCAAUUUAAGAAAUGAUUGAACACCUAUUAUGUGCCCAAUGUCAGGCUGGGAUUUGGAACCACAGUAACUCCUGGUUCCUAUACCUGAGGAGUUUACUGACUGAUGAGGACACUGACAAUGUACAAGUAAGUUACCAAUUCCAGGGAUGAGGGGGAGUCCAAGGCUUUGUUAGCUUCACAUAGGCUUUCUGGCUUUAACAUUUUCAGUUUCUUGAGUGUUAAAUGCAUAUCUUACAAGUAAUAAGCUCAGAGACUUCCCUGGUAGUCCAGAGGUUAAGACUCUCUGCUUCCAAUUCAGGGGGCAUGGGUUUGAUCCCUGGUUGGGGUACUCAGAUCCCCAAUGCCAUGGCAUUGCCAAAAAAUAAAGUUUAAAAGCAAUAAGUUCAAAGCAGUGGCAGAUUUCUUUUUCAAAAUCAAUAGAAUGUGUGUGUGUGUAUAGCUAAAAGAAAAAUGUUUACAGGCCAUAUUUUUUCGUUCAAAAUAAAAAUGAUUGUAAAUAAGUCCCUGGCAAAAUAUUGAUUACAAGCUAUACUGAAUGGAAGAAUCUAAAAGAAAACUAAGAAGCAACAUUUUAAUUAAUGCUUAAUUAAUUAAUUCUUGGAAGUAUCUGAGAAAUAGCAAUAGGAAAGACUUUUUUAACUUUGUUGAGGUAUUGUUGAUUUAAAAUAUUGUGCUAAUUUCUGCUAUACUGAAAAGUCAUUCAGUUAUACAUAUAUUCUUUUUCAUAUACUUUUCCACUGUUUUACCCGGG